GUAUUUCCAUUUUAGGCAGUGGAUUUAUGGUUUGAGAAACCCAUCAGAACUUCUGCAUGGGUUCCUAAGAAACCUAAGGAAUGCCCCAGAAAACCCACAGCCACUGAUCAUCCUCACCCCACACCCACUUCUGGAGACCAGACAAUGGGGCUGGAGGAGACCUCAAGAACAAGAGUGGGAGCAAACAGACCAGAUAGGAGAAAUCUCAAGUGUAAGUUUACUGAGUUCUGAUAAUUGCAUACCUCUGGGUAAUCCAAACUCCUCUCCAAACAUUGACCAUGACCAUCAGGGCACUAGCCUGCCAGUCUUUGGACUGGAACUACACCAGCUGCUCACUUAGACUGAAACUAAACCAUCAGCUCUCCUGGGUCUCCAGCUUGCCAACUCACGCUUCAGAUCUUGGGACUUGCCAGCCUCCAUAAUUACGUUGAAAACCAUGAACACUUCAUACUUUCAUGAUGGGGGUGAAGGGGUUUAAAGAGAUGACUUCUAAGAUCCUUCCAGGCUCUGCUGAGCCCUCUACCAGAUUGACUUGCCCAUGUUACUUCUAGGUCCCACGCUCUGUCCCUCCCGAAUGGUACACAGCUCUCGCUGGGUUCCAGAGAAAAUUGGGCAGCUCGACAAUGAACAUGAUGUGUUUCCCCAAGUCUCAUUUUUAAGGCGGCUUUAUCAGGUUUAAUUAGACAGCUGCCAUCUCUUGUGGCUUGCAGUGUAUAUUUAAGGAGAGAAACAUGAGUCGUCCUCUGUGAAAUGAAAAACAACAUCAUCAAAACUGUCUCUCCACUGCUCUGCUGGCUCCUUACCCACAGCCUAGAAACAUGUUCCAGUUCCUUCCAGGGCUCAGUGGAGAGUUUCUUGAACCACCGUGAGGGGACAUGAUAAUAUGAAGACAUGGGACUGCAGGCGCAGUAUACUUGAGAAGAUUAGCCCUGAGCUAACAUCUGCCACCAAUCCUGAGGAAGACUGGCUGUGAGGUAACAUCUGUGCCCAUCUUCCUCUACUUUAUAUGUGGGACGCCUGCCACAACAUGGCUUGACAAGCGCCGGGUAGGUCUUCACCAGGGAUCCAAACCAGUGAACCUGGGGCUGCUGAAGCAGAAUGUAUGAACUUAACCGCUGUGCCACCAGGCUGGCCCCCUCUAAACUGUAAUUUUCUAAGUAGGGGAAGAAUUUUAAAACAGUGUGAGUGCAAUGUUUUGGCCAAAUAAAUGCAACAUGAAGUCAAGACUAUAGAAGAAAAUAAAAAUCAAUACAACCACAGAAGAUCUCCAACCUGAGUAAUUCUAGCGCAUUCUCUGUCAAAUUAAUGCCCUCUGUCAGGAAGGUACAAGAUGACUUCAUUCAUUCUUUGGGCUCAGGAAUUGGGGGAUACCAGG
rnacentral:lncRNA from 1 species